GUUUGGAUUUGAGAUUGGCUCUCACCCCAGCGGGACAAAAUAGCUGCGUUCUUUGAAGGAACACAACAUGGAGGAUGAGACCCAUCUGAUAACAUCUUACACUGCUUUCAACCUAAAAAACCUACAGAUACUAUACUGGGAACAACUUAUCUUCAUCUGAAAACAUCAAGAGAUGGAGAAAAGCCAGCACUUCCCUUGGUAUUCUUCCCCCAGUGAUUAAUUCCCAUCCCUACUGAGCAUUCAAGUUUCAUUUCCCAUUUGAAUUUUUCGGGAUUCUUCUUUCAAUCAGUGCUUCUAACAACCCUUUUUUUUCUCCUAAAUGAAAGUGUUUCACCAUUUGGUCUUUCUCCCCAUGGCUUAUCCCUGCCACUCGGUGGGCUAAGGGCAAUAAUUGCAAAGAUAAUUAAAAACUGCCCAGUGCUUUGAACUGCUAAGCUCAUCUCCGAGGUUCAUUCUCCUGCUCAGUGUCAGAGGUACCACUGACAAGCACUUCACUUCAGCCUUUCAGGCACCGUGCAGCUGUCAGAGAAAACCAGAAGUGGAAAAGUACUAUCCCUUCAGAAAAACAGAUGUUGCAGCUCCAAUUUGUCUUCUGCCAAGACAAAGGAGAUGCACUAAACUGAUCUUUUGUAAAGGAUUUUGUUUUGCUUCCAAGAUUAAUAUCGCAACAAACUGGGAGGCACCAUACCUAAGGGUGCAGUAUUACAUUGCAGAACUGAGCCUAAACACCCAUGCUGAGCAUAAUCUAGUUAGUCUGAAGCUAUGCCUGUAGAGGGGGAGUAAAACUUUUUCAUUCCAGUAGGACAUUACCCCAAAUAAUCUUUCUAUCUCAGUACACAAAGGCUGGCCACUCAGUUGCAAAGCGAGGCAAUAGCUCCCAGGCGUGACACUGCUCACCAUGAAGUGUUGGUGAUGGUCUUCAGAGCCCUUGCUGGUGGCCUUCGUGGAGCUGUUGGAUCCCACAGAAGGGAAGGAGAUACAAAGGGGUGGGAGUUUAGACGCAGGCUAUGCCAUCAGUUGGCUGGAGGGUACUGAUUUGAGCCAACUGUUGUCACUGGACAGAAAAACUCAUCUGAAAUCACACAGCUGGUAAAGGACACCCAGCCAGGGCUCCAGUUCUUAUGGGAUAUCUGAUUUCAUGAUACUCUUCCCAGAAAGGACACUCUCUUUAUCCACAGGCCAGAAGCACUGCAGCCGACAGGCAGGCUUCUCACCCUUGGGCCACAUCUUCUUGCCACCACCAGUGUCACCCACUCACAGUGCACUCUGCCCCUUGCACUGUGACAACCCCCUUCCAAACACACCCAACCCAACCUGGCUGCUCUUCCCUUGCCAAUGGGAACCCCACACGUGCCUUCUUCUCAGCAGAAUUGGCACUUCACAAAAGAACAAGAAGUCUCUCCUUGUACAACCUGUUCAGGACGAAGAGCAGCAUGUGAUUUAAGCAGAUUGCCUCUACAUUCCUUACAACAAUGAAUUGAUCCUGAUUUUUACAUGGCAUAUCCAAUUAGCAGACUGAAACAAGCACAGUCAUCAGAUUAUGGUGUUCUCUUUCCAUGCUUCGUCAUCUUCCUGAAUAACUGCAAAUAAAUGGCAAGCACUUGAUUCAGCAGCGCCCUAUAUCUCUGCCCUGCAGCGGUUUGUCAGCAAGAUCUGCACACAUGCACAGAGGCAUCAAGCCUCAGUAAAAAAAUGACUGGACAAAGCAAAGUUUUUAGGGUUGCUGUUUUCUCUGCACAACAGGAGAUCUUUUAAAAUGAUGGAGAAUAGAUGUAAUGGACUAUCUCAGGACAACCACAAUUCUCACUGAUGCUUGGAAGUGCCCCUGAAGCAAGCUGACCCCUUUUCUGGUCAGGCUAGGUUCUGCAAGCCUAAUUAUGUCAGCCACGAGUGUGAACAAGCAAAGACAUCAUCCCUAUGAGAGACAGCUACACCAACAAAGUCCUGCUGUGGAUGCAGUGCUACUAAAGAAGAAAGAUCUUUUUCUUCCUGGUAUAGCUGAUUUUGUUUGGGUAGCUCUGAUAAACUACACCCACAGAAGAAACAUCUUGGCUCAAAGAAGUGUUUUUCCAGCGUAGGUUGCCAGCCCAGUGAUAUCUGCAUGUCAGCACAUUCCUCCUGCAGGAGAGGAGAG
ensembl:lncRNA